UACAGAGGUCCCGAGCGUUGUUCGGAUUCACUGGGCGUAAAGGGUGCGUAGGUGGCGGUGUAAGUUUGAUGUGAAAGCUCAGGGCUUAACCCUGAAAUGGCAUUGAAUACUACAUGGCUGGAGGUUUGGAGGGGGGACUGGAAUUCGUCGGUGUAGCAGUGAAAUGCGUAGAUAUCAUGAGGAAUACCAGAGGCGAAGGCGGCUACCUGGAAGCAAUUGCUGACGCUCAGGCACGAAAGCGUGGGGAGCAAAAGGG
rnacentral:rRNA from 1 species